AGAGGCGGUUCAAGGGUGGGAGCUUGGGGGAAGGAGUGGAGUGGGUGGGCUGAAGGUUGAACCUCCUGCCCCUGCUAUUUACAUUAAUUCGUAUGGGGAAAUUGGAUUCGCUUAACAUUGUUUCACUUAAACUCACAUUUUUCAGGAACAUAACGUUAAGUGAGGAGUUACUGUACUUAAAUUUAAGCAAGGGACAGAAAGAUUAGAUGUCUAUUAUAACAGGAGUUAAAGUAUUUGUAACAUGGUUUAAGCCAGAUUUGUUUUAUUCUUUUAGUGAUAAAAAUUGCAGGGUGGAUAAAAAAAAAUGAUUUUUUUGAUAAGUUUUUUCCUUAAAAAGCAUUUUAUCUAAAGAUAAAUUUUAAUUAAGAUAUAUCUUUGAGCUAUAACGUAUCUCAUCAUGGAAUAGGGAUUUUAAAUUCUAAUUCUAUAGUAUGAGACAAUAUAUUCAGGUAAUGUUUUACAAAACUUUUCUUAAUGAGUUCCAAUAGUUCAUAGAUUACCGACCCAAUCUUAUGGGGUUCCAGGGGCUUCUGCACAGAAAGAUUAACCUAAAUAAUCCAUCUACCUAAUGGGACUCAGUGCUCAGUCUAGAACAGGGGUUGGCAAUCUUUCAGCAGUGGUGUGCUGAGUCUUCAUUUAUCCACUCUAAUUUAAGGUUUUGCGUGCCAGUAAUACAUUUUAACAUUUUAAGAAGGUCUCUUUCUAUAAGUCUAUAAUAUAUAACUAAACUAUUGUUGUAUGUAAAGUAAAUAAGGUUUUAAAAUGUUUAAGAAACUUAAUUUAAAAUUGAAUUAAAAUGCAGAGCUCCCAGACCGGUGGCCAGGACCCAGGCAGUGUGAGUGCCACUGAAAAUCAGCUCACAUGCCACCUUUGGCACAUGUGCCAUAGGUUGCCUACCCCUGUCUAAACGAUACUAUCAAAGAUGGCUCGUUUUGCAGUUCUCAAACUGUGAAUGUGUGUCUCCAGAGAUAACAUGCUUUUAACAUGUUUUUUAAAUAAAUAAAUAUAGAGGUGAGAAAUAACAGACCUUAACCCUAUUGUCCCUCUGAAAAAUUGUGUACAUGGAGUCAAUUCCAUUCCUCUUUCUAGAAGUGCAAAGUUUCAAAAUGUUCAAUGAACAGAAGAUCGUUGGGGCAGAAUAGAUCUGGACAAGGAGAAGGCGGCUGGAGAUAAAUGUGAGAAGGGAGGGACAGGUAGUAGAAACAAAAGUGAAACUGUUUCAGCAGCAUAUUCCAGAAGUCUUGAGGUCUCUCUGAGUGCAGACUUCGUUGUUUUGAGAUCUCCCAUACCAUUCUCUCACUAGAAGGGAAAACCUAUAAUGGCAGCAGGCCAUAAGAGAGACCCAGUUUGGAAAUAUUUUAAUAAAGUUCCUCUACCUGUGGGUAAGAGAGGCAUGCGUGCAAAAUGCAAACAGUGCAACAAAGAAAUGCAAGGCCUGGUUGUUCGAAUGAAACAUCAUCAUGAAAAGUGUUCCUUCUCAGGAGGAAGCUAUGUUGAAGAUGAUGAAAGGAACAUGCCUGAACAUGCAGGAUCUUCAGGCUGGAAAAUCCACCCUCAACAUACAGGAUUCUGAAGACUGUCCACCUUCAAGAUCACCGUCGUUUUCUAUAGUUUCAGAGUUAUCUGCCAAUGAUAGUGUUUCAGUCACAUCACGUAUGUGAUGUCACAUACCCACAAUAUAUCACCUGUAGCAAAAAAAAAAAAAAUCUCCAUCAUCCAGGAACUAUAAAUAAGUGUGUGAUAAGAAUCAGCAGAUUACAAAAAGAGGUCACUGAUGAAAAAAUUGCCCUGUUUAUGCAACAAACGCUCCUUUCCAUAUGAUUGAGAACCCACACUUCAUUAACAUGUUUCAGUCAUUAAGACCAGAAUACAGUCCACCCAACAGAGCAGAUGUCGCAGGCUAAUUGCUGGAUAAAAUGUCUGAAAGAGAAACUGAGCAGUGUGCAAAAGGUCUAGAGGGUGAAACUGUUAACCUGAGUCUUGAUGGGUGGAGCAAUGUCCGCAAUGAUCCUGUUGUGUGUGCUUGUGAGACAACAGAAGAAGGGAAUCUUCCUUACAGGAAGAACUGAUACAGCAGGAAAUGCACACACAGAAGAACACUUACAAGAAGUAGCAGUAAAAACUAUAACAAACUGAAAAAAAUGCAAAAUGUCUAGUACGCAGCUUGGUCACAGAUCAUGCUGCAAAUGUAUCCAAGAUAAGAAAUUAUUUACGCUUGCAGUGCUCAUUUGAUGCACCUUCUAGCCAAAGACUUCAGUGUUCCAGAAAUAAACGCUAAUGUUGUUGAAAUUGCAAAAUACUUCCGUAACAACCACUUUGCAACAGCUGCUCUGAAAAAAGUGGGAGGAACCAAGCUACCUCUCCCAUAAGACGUGUGACGGAAUUCAGUAGUGGACUGUUUUGAGCACUAGAUCAAGAACAGACCUAAUUUGAAGACUUUUUGUGAACAAAAUCGUGAAAAAGAACAGCUGGCACUGUCACAGCCAAAGUUCACAAAAUUGGGCUUAAGAGAAAUGUUGAACACAUGCUGAGUACCCUGAAGCCUAUUUCUGCAGACUUGAACAAAAUGCAAGGAAAUAGCUGUCUUAUUGCUGACGCUGUUGAAACUUAGAAGGAACUGAGUGAGAUCUUAAAAAGAGAACUAUGUAGUGACAGAGUUAAAUUACAAGCAUUAAAAAAAUGAAUGUGACAAGCAA